AUGGAUUUUAUCACAGGACUACCCAGGACAAAGGCAGGCUACGAUUCGAUAUGGGUAGUAGUUGAUCGUUUGACAAAGGUAGCACAUUUUAUUCCAGUUAAGACCACUUACACCAGUGCUAAGUUGGCAAAGAUAUACAUGACUAGGAUCAUUUGUUUGCAUGGAGUUCCGAAGAGUAUCGUAUCAGAUAGAGGAACCCAAUUUACCUCAAGGUUUUGGAAUCAGUUGCAUGAAACUUUAGGAACCAGACUAGAGUUCAGCACAGCUUUUCAUCCGCAGACAGAUGGACAGACCGAAAGAGUCAAUCAGAUUUUGGAAGAUAUG
rnacentral:rRNA from 1 species